GGAUUAGCGGCGAACGGGUGAGGAACACGUGAGGAAUCUGCCUUCAACACUGGGAUAACUCCGGGAAACCGGGGCUAAUACCGGAUACGAGACCUGCAGGCAUCUGCGGGUCUGGAAAGUUUUUCGGUUGAAGAUGACCUCGCGGCCUAUCAGCUUGUUGGUGAGGUAAUGGCUCACCAAGGCGACGACGGGUAGCCAGCCUGAGAGGGCGACCGGCCACACUGGGACUGAGACACGGCCCAGACUCCUACGGGAGGCAGCAGUGGGGAGUAUUGGGCAAUGGAGGGAACUCUGACCCAGCGACGCCGCGUGCGGGAUGAAGGCCUUCGGGUUGUAAACCGCUUUCAGCAAGGAAGAAGCGAAAGUGACGGUACUUGCAGAAGAAGCACCGGCUAACUAUGUGCCAGCAGCCGCGGUAAUACAUAGGGUGCAAGCGUUGUCCGGAAUUAUUGGGCGUAAAGAGCUCGUAGGUGGUUCGUCACGUCGGAUGUGAAAAUCUGGGGCUU
rnacentral:rRNA from 1 species